UGUUGAUGGUAAGGUCGAGGCUUACCAUGGUGGCGACCGGUACGGGGGAUCAGGGUUUGAUUCCGGAGAAGGAGCCUGAGAGACGGCUGCUACAUCCAAGGAAGGCAGCAGGCGCGCAAUUACCCAAUGCUGACUCAGUGAGGUAGUGACAAGAAAUAACAACUCGGAGCCAUUCGGUUUCGGGAUUGUAAUGAGAACAGUUUAAAACCUUUAUCGAAUACAAUUGGAGGGCAAGUCUGGUGCCAGCAGCCGCGGUAACUCCAGCUCCAAUAGCAUAUACGAAUGUUGUUGCAGUUGAAACGCCCGUAGUCGAGAAUCGGCGUUCGUGACGGCCGCACCCCGCAAGGGGUCGAGCUCGUGGCGGGCGCCUCUGUCGGAGACGGCGUCGGGUCCUUUGUUGGGCCUGGCGUACGCGCCGACCUUUACCUUUGAGUAAAUUAGUGUGUUCCAGGCAAGCAAACGCUUUGAAUACGUCAGCAUGGGAUUAUGAAACAUGAUUCGGACUCUGUUUCUGUUGGUUUCAGGGUCUGAGUAAUGAUGAAUAGGGACGGUUGGGGGCACUAGUACUGCCGCGUCAGAGGUGAAAUUCUUGGAUUGCGGCAAGACUAACUACUGCGAAAGCAUUUGCCAAGGACGUUCCCAUUGAUCAAGGACGAAAGUUCGGGGAUCGAAGACGAUUAGAUACCGUCGUAGUCCGAACCAUAAACUAUGCCGACUGGAGAUUUGACGGUGGUUCACCAAUGCCCCGUCAAGCAUCCUGUGAGAAAUCAAAGUUUUUAGGUUCUGGGGGGAGUAUGGUCGCAAGACUGAAACUUAAAGGAAUUGACGGAAGGGCACCACCAGGAGUGGAGCCUGCGGCUUAAUUUGACACAACACGGGGCAACUCACCAGGUCAGGACAUAGUGAGGAUUGACAGAUUGACAGCUCUUUCUUGAUUCUAUGGUUGGUGGUGCAUGGCCGUUCUUAGUCCGUGGAGUGAUCUGUCUUGGUUAAUUCCGAUAACGGACGAGACCUUUACCUGCUAAAUAGUGAGGCUAACCUCGGUUGGCCUUCACUUCUUAGAGGGACUAUCUGCGUCUAGCAGAUGGAAGUUGAAGGCAAUAACAGGUCUGUGAUGCCCUUAGAUGUCCUGGGCCGCACGCGCGCUACACUGACGGGUGCAACGAGUCCUACCCUGCACCGAUAGGUGUGGGUAAUCUUUGAACGCCCGUCGUGCUGGGGAUUGACCAUUGGAAUUGUUGGUCAUCAACGAGGAAUGCCUUGUAAGCGCGUCUCAUCAGGGCGCGUUGAAUACGUCCCUGCCCUUUGUACACACCGCCCGUCGCUGCUACCGACUGAGCGAACCGGUGAAACCCCCGGACCGCGCCUCUGUUGCGGGGCAACCCGUGAUGGUGCGCGUGGGAAGCCGGUUGAAUCUUUUCGCUUGAAGGAAGCAGAAGUCGUAACAAGGUU
rnacentral:rRNA from 1 species